CGGUGGAAGAACAGAAACAGAGCAGUGAGGCUGCGUGGCUCCAUUUUCCAGUGCCACCAACUGUGAGUUAAGCUGACUAACAUUGUGAAAACCCGGUCCAUUUCGGUCACAGCAGGCGUGGCAGCGGUUGAGUGAUUGUACCCGCCAGAUGGCUAAUAUCAUAAUUAACAAAGUUGCUACUGCAUUUGCAAAGUUUAAUCGAAAAAUUUGCCCGUGAUAUGACGGCAUAGUCACAAAGAUCACAAGGGAUACGGAGCCGAGGUGGAGUGGCAAAGCUGUGUAGGCAAGGCGAGGAGAAAUCGCCAACUCGUUCAGCCAAAGGGUAUGCAUCAUAUCACCCACCAGGGAGGAUCAUCUCUCAUGAAAACUUUUAAAUUUGAUUUUGGAAAUUAUACAGAAAAAUUGAAGCCGCACUCUCUUCCCAUGUAAGAAAGAAUAUGCUCUGGAGAUUCCUAUAAUUCAAGGAAAAUGGACUAGGGUAGCAUUUGGGUUCUCGUGCUACCCAAAAUCCUCUUAAGCAGGAGGCUAAUAAUGAAGGGGCCAGGGAAGGAGGCCAGUGCUACGAGGGUUAUCUCACAGCCUCAGAUGCUGGAUAAGUCGACGGAGGCAGAAUCGCUUUUGGAUGACAUUCAGAAAGGCCGGAGUGAUUAUUUGGAAGAGAAAAGCCUGCCUAUUCUUUUCCAAGGUGUGUGAAUAUUCCUCUGGCCUGCCGGUCCACCGAUGAAUUACUGGCAACCUGCUGUAGACAAAGGAUGCUCUCGGAACCCCACCACACCUAAAGCCACGCUUUGAAGGAUCUGCCAAGCUCACUUUUAAUCAUGAGAAAGAAAUUACUCACACGGAGUCAGCAGAAAAUGAGAAAGUGGAGCCCAUGCUACGAAUAAUUCCAGCAAGUGCCAAGGGGCUAGUUGAGGAAUGGCUUCACGAGGUGAAUAUCUUUAGCUUGUACGUAGGGUUUGGCUCGAGUAUAAUCAUUUUUUCUUUUAGGAACGAUGACUAUCCUAAGUGUGUUUCCUAACGAAAGAGUGCUCAGAGCAUCUGUCAGGAUGUUGACGGAUUUAAUGUCAGUCUCGUCCUUGUUGUUAUGUACUAUGACUAAUUUUACAUUUGCAAAGAUGCAAACAUCAGUUGAGGCGAAGAAGAGGCUGUCUGAGCCAAUGACUGUUAAUAGCUGUACGUAUCGGUGUGUUUCACUGUGAGUGCCUGUCCAGUGAUUCCCGUCUGUGUAUGUAUGUGUCCUCGUUCUUGUCUCCUCUCUGUUGUGCACGUCGGUCGGGAGGACUGGCCUGCCAAUGGGUCUUCAGACGUGGUCCCAGGCUUUCAUUUGAUUUUUGGACCAGGAAAAAAAGAAUGUGUCGUGUCAUGAUGAAUGGUCAAUCUGAAUUUUCAAUGCGUGUGAAAGGCAAAGGGGGAGGAGGAUAUAAGCCCAGUGAUGAGACUAACCUUUAAC